rnacentral:lncRNA from 1 species
GGUUAUUGUAUUUAAAUUUUUUAAGUGCUUCCAGUCAUAUUCCAUCAUUCUUCUAAUUUGCUGACUACGACGCCUGAUUGGUGGAUUUGUGUCCAAUUACAUAUAUUUCACCAUAUUCCACAGCCGUCACCUGAUUGAAUAUAUCAACAAUCUAUUCGGACAUCGGAGAUUGCUCUAUCAUUGCACGUUCUAACAGAUCUGUUGGCUAUUAUUGUGUCACAUAUUUUAAGAAGAUAAACAAGACGGAGCAGCAAGAAGGAAUAACAAUAAUCGCCGGUAAUACUCCGGACUGUCGCGCUAUGCUCGAUACGGCGCAUGUUUCAAUCCACCUACGCAGUUUCAUUUCGCAUGAUGACAAUACGAGAACGGAAAUCUUGACAUAAAUUACGAUUCUCGAACGGCCCCAAAGGCCAAGACUGAAUAUGUUUGCCUUGUGUCAAGGAUAUUAUGGACAACGUUGUACUAUUUCUAGAAAGUACGAAGAAGCCAUCAGGUGGAUUCAUCACGGAUGGAUCUCGACGUCAGCAUGGGCAAGUCGACGAGAGAUUAAGGGUGCCGUGCCCUGGCCCCUUAGGGGUUGGCUGGCAAGCGACUCAUUCUUUUAUCAUCAGUCUACUCCGGAGUUGGUUAACUUAUGCACGUGCUAUUCCAUGCUAAAUACCCAGGCGAUUGGAAAGUUGCGCCUCGUGUCUCGUUUGGUCCCGACUAUUAGUUAUCCGCAUGUUGGCAUGGCCAGAUACGAAGCCCUAUUAGUUGCCUUGCAGAUGGACUACCUACUCACUUAUCACUAGGUAACUACUUAGUUGCUUGGAUGAAGAGGCCUGAACUCCAACCUCUUCUUCUUGGAGUAACACGUGUUGUCCGUGCUACCACCAGCCCUUUCUGCGUGCCUGCAUCUGCAUGGCAUGGGAAUCAAAUCACGUUUGUCUACAAUGAAUCAUUGAAUGUCAGCUUGGAUUCAUAUACGUACAGAGGCUUCCCGCAUGCGACAAGGCCGGCCGCGAAGAAACGAUCCAAGCUCCGGACUAACUCGCCUCACUCUUUUUUUGCUCGUAGAUUAUUACGAUGAUUAAAAAAAUUUCAUCGUGUCGAGAUUCCGGUUUUUGAUCAUGAUGCUAACACUAAUCAGAUGAAUGACCAUGUUGGAUUUCUUAUAUUACCGGUAAUGUUUCCGACGAGAUCCGCAUUCGUCAAAACAUACCUAACGCACGAAAUAUAUUUUCUCAGAGUCAUGUACGACCUUGAGGCUGAAAGCCAAAAGGAGCAGAACGUCAGUCAGGAGUGCUCAGAUAUCAGUUGAGACCGGUACCUAUGUAGUAGUACGGUCACUACGGUGAUACCUACACUAUCAACGGCACGAGCCGCACUGAUCGUGUUAGUCCGUCAGAGUCAUGGCUAACUUCGAACCUACACAAAAAACGGGCAUAUGUAUAGUAUCUUGAUGUAUUAAAUCAGAACACCUGACCCUGAUUAAUGCAAAAU